rnacentral:rRNA from 1 species
UCCGUCGGCGUCCUCAUUAGUCUUUUGUUUAAGCCCGAGGCUCAACUUCGGAAAGGCAAAAGAUACUGUGAGGAUAGAGUCUGUUUGAGGAAACUAGAAUUCUUGGUGGAGGGGUGAAAUCCGUAGAUAUCAAGAGGAAUACCAUGCGCGAAGGCAGGUUUCUACAACAUGACUGACGCUCAGGGACGAAAGCUUGGGUAGCAAAAG